GACGAACGCUGGCGGCGUGCUUAACACAUGCAAGUCGAGCGGUAAGGCCCUUUCGGGGGUACACGAGCGGCGAACGGGUGAGUAACACGUGGGUGACCUGCCCUCAGCUCUGGGAUAAGCCUGGGAAACCGGGUCUAAUACCGGAUAUGACUCCAUGACGCAUGUUGUGGGGUGGAAAGCCUUGUGCGGCUGAGGAUGGGCCCGCGGCCUAUCAGCUUGUUGGUGGGGUGAUGGCCUACCAAGGCGACGACGGGUAGCCGGCCUGAGAGGGCGACCGGCCACACUGGGACUGAGACACGGCCCAGACUCCUACGGGAGGCAGCAGUGGGGAAUCUUGCGCAAUGGGACGAAAGCCUGACGCAGCGACGCCGCGUGA
rnacentral:rRNA from 1 species